rnacentral:rRNA from 1 species
CAGUAGCCACGGUAAUACGUAGGUGGCAAGCGUUGUCCGGAAUUAUUGGGCGUAAAGGGCUCGCAGGCGGUUUCUUAAGUCUGAUGUGAAAGCCCCCGGCUCAACCGGGGAGGGUCAUUGGAAACUGGGAAACUUGAGUGCAGAAGAGGAGAGUGGAAUUCCAAGUGUGGCGGUGAAAUGCGUAGAGAUGUGGAGGAACACCGGUGGCGAAGGCGACUCUCUGGUCUGUAACUGACGCUGAGGAGCGAAAGCGUGGGGAGCGAACAGGAUUAGAUACCCCAGUAGUCCCUGUCUCUUAUAC